CCGGCGCACGGGUGAGUAACGCGUAUCCAACCUGCCCACCACUUGGGGAUAACCUUGCGAAAGUAAGACUAAUACCCAAUGAUAUCUCUAGAAGACAUCUGAAAGAGAUUAAAGAUUUAUCGGUGAUGGAUGAGGAUGCGUCUGAUUAGCUUGUUGGCGGGGUAACGGCCCACCAAGGCAACGAUCAGUAGGGGUUCUGAGAGGAAGGUCCCCCACAUUGGAACUGAGACACGGUCCAA
rnacentral:rRNA from 1 species